rnacentral:lncRNA from 1 species
GGCGAUGAGUGCCCUAUGACGAAUGUCAUAGGGGAGGGUUAGGACGGGCCAGCUGUAGCCCUGUGCAGUCGUGGCAGCAGUGCGCCGCCCGAAAACUCCGGCGGGUCACGUCGAGAAAUGCUGGCGCCUCUCCGUGUGUCAGAGUCGUAUUCCGGACAUGCGCGUCCCAUCGGUUGCAUUUAUGGCGAGAUCGGUGGGGGCCCACAAGAUCUGCGCCCUCAUGUGCUGGUCCGCGAACGUCCUUGGUCGAGGCGAAACUUUGUCUUGUGGGUCCGGAUAUGUCCGACCCUUAGCGCCCGGGGUCGGGCGAGACGGAGCCUUGCGCUCGGGGUCGGCGAGGCGGAGACCUGCUGGGAGGGGUCGGGCGAGGCAGAACUCUCCCAGCUGGGACGAGGAGCGGCCUGAGGGGGUCGAGCGCGUCCGACCCUGUGACCCGGGGGUCGGGUCAAGUCGGCGGACCCUUAUGACCGUCGUUUAAGGAAUAUAAGGAAGUCGUUA